UUGAAAAAAAGUUUUUAAUUAUAUAUAAAAGUGUAUGAGAAAAUGAUAAUAAGUUUUUUUGCACAUAUUUUGUAAUUAAUUAAAAUAAUGUAUACAAAAUUGUAAAAUGCCCUAUAUAAUACCUAACCUAAAUUUCUAUCCAGCAGCACCCCAUCAAAACCGCACACCAUUCUCUGCUGUCUCUCUCUUCUUUAUCUUCUCUCAGGAUCUCUCUCGCGCGCCCAUCCAAGUCCCACACCGUCCAGCUAUGGGCUCCUACCGUCCAAGGGACACUGUACCGCUCUCUCACACAACUCCUAUAUACGGUGGUGGCCACUUGAACUAAAACUAUCGUGUGGCGUUCAAGCCACCAUCGAACUUAGAGAUAGGGCCUCAUGUUGACGGUAGGAGCUCCCAUGGUGUUUGCACAAUUUUUUGUUGGCAACGACGAAGAUAUUUAGUGGUUUUCGAUUUAUUAUUGUGUAAAAACUGUAUAUAAUUUUGAUCUUCAAUAUUUCUAAUGUGUGGAGGGAUUAUUUGAUAAAUGGAGCUAGAUCUGAUUUUCUUUUCA